GGGCGGUCUUAGCAAGCCGUCCUUAGGGGUCAGCUCAGCCAAUGGUUUGUUCGGCAGUGCCCCCAGGGCGGGGGCAGUCUCCCUCGGUGGGAGUGCUUGGGACCCGCCCCAGUUUGCUCCCUAGCCCUCUUCACCUGUGCAGUCGCCCCUUGACACCUGGCAAAGCUGUACACUGAGGAGGGGACUGAAGGGGAAAAGUUGCAGGAAAUGUCUGGCUCCUGCUUUGCAGCUUCUCACUUUGAGCGAGUCUGGGGUGUUUGGGGUUGACGCCCAGGCGCUCUGACAGGUAGACUCACAGACAGGUAAAGCUGGCCACGCUAGGUCAGACCCUGAAUUCAGGAGACCUUCUGCUGGCAUGAACGUCCAAGUGAAGAUGCUGUGGCUGGGACAUUGUGACCUGACCAUGACCUGACUGACCUGUGUGGACAGCUGCAAGAAGGGAGGAUCUGACACCAAGAAGUUUGCAACAACUAACCAUGCCUUUCUCUCACCUAACUUUAAAAGGGCUUUGAGACCUUUCUCUGCUCCAAACUCUCAACGCUUUCAUGUUGUUUGUACCUUGGGCACAUGAACUUUGUUCAGGAACAAGAUGAUGAGCCAGGCAAGAGUCUGUACCCCUGGCGGGUCCACCUUGGCCAGGGCAGCCCCUUCCCCAAGUUCCCAGCACCUGCAGGAGCUCAUUUUGCCUGGUGGAAUGGGAGGGCCUCUCCCUGACCAGAGAGAAACGCCUUAAGCUGCCAUCCACAUCCGGUGUCACUUGGGAGAUUCAUCAAGCCAGGAACUACAUUUGGAAAGUGGAUCCAGGCUCCUGGGUAUCUCUGUUUUUCAAAACAAAGAUUCAUAUGGAGAGAUGCAAUGUGACAAAGGAGUACUUUUUCCCCACUUCUCCUUUACAGAAAAGAUUUCUUCAGCACAAGAAAAGAAAAUCGAGCCCCUGGAGUAAAAAUUCGGAAGAACAAGAUAGGGGAAAGAGGGGCUAUAAAAGAGGAAUAAAAAAGUGACUAUGGGAGUUCCUGUUGUGGCGCAGCGUCCAUGAGGUUGUGGGUUUGAUCCCUAGCCUUGGUCAGUGGGUUAAGGAUCUGGCAUUGCUGUGAGCUGUGGUGUAGGCUGGCAGCAACAGCUCCAAUUAGACCCCUAGCCUGGGGACCUCCAUAUGCCAUGGGUGCGGCCCUAAAAAGACA
rnacentral:lncRNA from 1 species